rnacentral:rRNA from 1 species
UGACCUCGGAUCAGGUAGGAAUACCCGCUGAACUUAAGCAUAUCAUANGGGGGG